rnacentral:rRNA from 1 species
AGUGAACGCUGGCGGUAGGCCUAACACAUGCAAGUCGAACGGCAGCACAGUAAGAGCUUGCUCUUACGGGUGGCGAGUGGCGGACGGGUGAGGAAUACAUCGGAAUCUACUUUUUCGUGGGGGAUAACGUAGGGAAACUUACGCUAAUACCGCAUACGACCUACGGGUGAAAGCAGGGGAUCUUCGGACCUUGCGCGAUUGAAUUAGCUGAUGUCGGAUUAGCUAGUUGGCGGGGUAAAGGCCCACCAAGGCAACGAUCCGUAGCUGGUCUGAGAGGAUGAUCAGCCACACUGGAACUGAGACACGGUCCAGACUCCUACGGGAGGCAGCAGUGGGGAAUAUUGGGCAAUGGGCGCAAGCCUGAUCCAGCCAUACCGCGUGGGUGAAGAAGGCCUUCGGGUUGUAAAGCCCUUUUGUUGGGAAAGAAAAGCAGCAGGUUAAUACCCCGCUGUUCUGACGGUACCCAAAGAAUAAGCACCGGCUAACUUCGUG